UACAGAGGGGGCAAGCGUUAUUCGGAAUUAUUGGGCGUAAAGGGCGCGUAGGCGGCCUGGCAAGUGGAAGGUGAAAUCCCUCGGCUUAACCGGGGAACUGCCCUCCAAACUGCUUGGCUUGAGUCCGGGAGAGGUGAGUGGAAUUCCCAGUGUAGCGGUGAAAUGCGUAGAUAUUGGGAGGAACACCAGUGGCGAAGGCGGCUCACUGGACCGGAACUGACGCUGAGGCGCGAAGGCGUGGGGAGCAAACGGG
rnacentral:rRNA from 1 species